CUUAUGAGCUUAGCCGCUCUCAGUGUCUCAGACUUCUCUCUGAUGUUACCAAUUAAAUCUCUGAAGGCGGACUAUCUCUACACGUACAACUGGUGUAUAGAUUUCUUCUCUGUGUUCUCACUGAGCCAUUACAACAUUGAAUUGAAUUUGACAGCUCAUUGUUAUGUAUCUUGGAAUGGUAAUUGUGGCUUUGUCAAUAUUGGCAAUGAAUAUCGGAAUACAUCCUAGUAAAAUCAGAUUUCACUCGCAGUCUUAGUGAAAUUAUCAUUACUGUUUGCUGAACGAUUACAUUCGAUCAGGAUUCUUCAAUAUCUUUUGAUGUAAUAUAUGUGCCACGCGCGUCAAGUAUUACGACAUUGUGUAAUUAGUGCAAUCCUAUUUACUAAUUGCGGGCGGACAUAACUUAUUGUAUUUCAAUGUCAUCGCGAUCCGGUGAACAUGCUAAUUAUCAGCAAUUCAACAUUGAGGACUUGGAUUGCAACAUCUCCAACAGCUCUAGCCGAA